rnacentral:tRNA from 1 species
UGGGCUGUCGCCAAGCGGUAAGGCACCAGACUUUGACUCUGGCAUUCGCAGGUUCAAAUCCUGCCAGCCCAGCCA